GAAAAGACGCAGUUUCAGCGACGUCUUGGAGUGUUUAAAACAAGAAUCUGUCCUGUAAUCAGAAGUACUGUUCGUAUUUCUUCGCUAAGGAAGUGACUUAUAACUUUGGACUGUUUCAUGAUAAAAACGCAGACUUUCGUUUCCCGGGUUGGAGAUGUCGUUGAGCGUCGUCCAGUGACUUGGUGUAAAUCCGACGCGCAGGCCUGUUGAGCACGGAGACAUUGCAGCACGCUGGACUCCCGGACCAUUUCAGUGUGAUGAAUGUGUUUCAACGCACACUAGCAACUAGAUUGAGCAUGCAAUUGUGCUUUGCAAAUGCAAGGUCGUGGUUGAGAGCAGAAGCCCUGAACUGCAUUAAACACCAGGUGAACUCUGAGCAAAUCUACCUACACUUUCAGUUGCGUCUCUUCUCCAUGCAAAGGCACAAGUGCCCUUCUUUUGUCCUUGUUCUCCUCGUCAUCUUUCACGUUCCUUCUUCAGCUACAGACAGACACUCACACUCUUGUGCGUUGUCUUCAUUCAGUGGUUUGAAGGUCAACUCAACUUGGUGUAGUCUUCUGACGUUAUUUGCAUUAAAAUGGUUCAGUCUAGAUGUUUGUGUACAGUUAACGGUGUCAAACAUACAAAAUAAUUGCAUUGUGAGUCAUGUCAGCCCAGUAAAGACAAUCGAAUAAGAGUUUAAAUGACACAAAAGGCCCAACGAACACAUGGACCGUGCACAACAGCUAUGAAGGCCGAGCGCACUUUUUCACCCUAUUGUAGUGCGAUACAGAACAGGGUUGGCUGCAUCUCCUCCCCCUUCCCUUUUUCAAUCACGCAUCAGCUUUUACUGAGGUCUAUUUACCAUCCGCUCCUGAUUGAAAACACUCAUCCUCUCUGAUUGAAAAAGGCCACACAUAUCAAGACGGAAGGACAUGCCAUUCCUGAGAGCUGAUUGGCUUUGAGGAAGAGCCCUACUGCACGCUCUCGUGAAGGGCAUUUUGGACUUGUCGUAUAGAGGCUCGCUUAAUUACUUUACCCAGCCCUGUUUUAAAGUAUCUCUCAUCCUGCGUCUCCAUCCCACCAAUUAUUCAUCACUGAAGUGCCGUUACUAAGGCAUUAGGUGGUCACCAUGAAAAUUGUUGCUGGUACUGGAGCAAUUAACAAAUCCAUUAGUGUUAUCUGUAAGGAAUCGCAUGCUCUCUGGCCACUCUUAUUUUUUUAAAAUGUAACUGUGCCGGUGCCAGGAGGACAGGCUAAUACGCACGUGCAUAAGAGCAAGUCUUAUUCCAUCACGUUGGCUACUUGUCAAACUUGUAUGUUUAAUUCAGCAGCGUGUCAUUAUAAAUAUACAUAUUUAACUAAUUCAUCAUCUGCAGAGCCUUUUAAUUAGUGGAAUAGAUCAAUGUUUAAUGUUCUCUUUAACAAUACAUGGCUGCAGUGUUUUAAUUCGUGUCAUAACUAUGUUGAUGAUGCCUCCCUAUGCAUGCUGGAGCCUA